ACCGUUUUCGUUUACCAACAUCCUGCUGUACCGAUUCAGGCAAGUACACUGCAACACUACUAGUACAGACGAGGGUCAGGGGCCACGAAACCCCGCAAGAUGCUUGGUCUAUUCAUAUACCUCGUCUGUGGCUGCGUUUAAAUCGCGAGGACGUGAUUUUCUUGUAGACAGUCCGCGUAUAUCUUGUUUGCUCGCAGUGUAUUCUAGAUAUUGGAUAUUUUUAUUUAAAAAAAACAAUAUUAUUCGCGCGCGUGUCGAGCGGUACGAGAUUUGAGAAUGUUUUGCGUUGUGGACUGUAUAUCUUUGACGCGCGCUUGUAUAUUAGGGUUUUUCUCCCUCGGUGUUAAUUGUAAAUAUCGCGAGAAGACUACUGGACGUCGGAUCAAUUCUGAUUCGUAAACCGAAAGAAAGCAGGGAACCUCUCUCGAUUCCCUUUCCAUCGACUUUUGUCUCCAGUGUCUUCGCACAUGUUCGGGAAAGCUGAUUCCAUACCUCCACGGUCUGAUGUAAGACAAAGCUCAGCCAGAAGGACAAGGUUUAUGGCGAUAGUUUAUGGACCUGCUAGGGACUCAGGUCAUUCAAAAUACAGAAACUUUCUCCGGCGAGCAUGCACCCAGGAAAUUCUCCCGAACAGAUAUCUUGAUUUUUAUCCCACUUUUUCUUCUUGCCUUCAUAGUCAAGCUCGUUCUUAAAUUCUCGAGGAAACGUGACUUUGUUGCAGACUUUAUUCUUCAAGAGACGAAAGAAAAAUGCAUCUACUUUGAUUUAAAUUUCGAAUACUAUCGCAGAAACGAGAAUGAUAUUCAUCAGGAGAUAUACAGUGAGGAGCAAAAUUGAACCAAUGUUGGUACUGUUGCAGUUCGAGGAUGGAGGAAGGAUGUAGGAUUUUGGUGAGGUCUAGCCAAUGCCUAGACUCAUCAGUGGGACUGAUGGCAGCGACCCCUUACCUCAGACGCUUGGUUGUUAUAACUACGGGAAGAAUAUGAAUCCCCUCCGAAAUCUCAACGAAUUAUGGGAAAAACUUGAAGAGCAGUGGUAUGCAAUUUCUCUGGGAGUAUGUAAAAAUUUAGUGGAGAGUAUGCCUAGACGAAUUGCAGCCGUUUUUAAGUGCAAAAGGCUUAUGGACAAAGUGUUAAACAUUUAUAAAACUCUGAUUCUCUAUUAUUUUUUGGGUGGUGCAUAAUUGAGUUACAACAAAAAUUAUGUUACUGCUAAAUUAAAGAAAAUGUUGUAAAACUGUUAUACGUUUGUUGUAGUAAAGUGUUAAUUAUGUGUAACAGGUUCCUUUCGUUUCUUAUUAGAAUAUGUAAAUAAAUUAAUA